GAUGAACGCUGGCGGCGUGCCUAACACAUGUAAGUCGAACGUGAGGGUGCUAGCAAUAGUGCCUGAAAGUGGCGAACGGGUGAGUAACACGUAGGUAACCUACACAAUUCUACGGAAUAACACAGGGAAACUUGGACUAAUACCGCAUCCGCCCUACGGGGGAAAGAUUUAUCGGAAUUGGAUGAGCCUGAGUAAGAUUAGCUAGUUGGUGGGGGAAUGGCCUACCAAGGCGACGAUCUUGAGCUGGUCUGGGAGGAUGAUCAGCCACACUGGGACUGAGACACGGCCCAGACUCCUACGGGAGGCAGCAGUGGGGAAUAUUGGACAAUGGGGGGAACCCUGAUCCAGCCAUGCCGCGUGUGUGAAGAAGGCCUUAUGGUUGUAAAGCACUUUAAGCGAGGAGGAGGCUCUUUUGGUUAAUACCCAAGAUGAGUGGACGUUACUCGCAGAAUAAGCACCGGCUAACUCUGUGCCAGCAGCCGCAGUAACAC
rnacentral:rRNA from 1 species